rnacentral:rRNA from 1 species
AUUGAACGCUGGCGGCAUGCCUUACACAUGCAAGUCGAACGGCAGCACGGGGGCAACCCUGGUGGCGAGUGGCGAACGGGUGAGUAAUGCAUCGGAACGUGCCCAGUAGUGGGGGAUAACCAGUUGAAAGACUGGCUAAUACCGCAUACGACCCAAGGGUGAAAGCGGGGGACCGUAAGGCCUCGCGCUAUUGGAGCGGCCGAUGUCUGAUUAGCUAGUUGGCGGGGUAAGAGACCACCAAGGCGACGAUCAGUAGCUGGUCUGAGAGGACGACCAGCCACACUGGGACUGAGACACGGCCCAGACUCCUACGGGAGGCAGCAGUGGGGAAUUUUGGACAAUGGGCGCAAGCCUGAUCCAGCCAUGCCGCGUGCGGGAAGAAGGCCUUCGGGUUGUAAACCGCUUUUGGCAGGAACGAAACGGCGCAAGCCAAUACCUUGCGCUAAUGACGGUACCUGCAGAAUAAGCACCGGCUAACUACGUGCCAGCCGCCGCGGUAAAAC